rnacentral:rRNA from 1 species
CAACAUCACCUCUAGCAUUACAAGUAAUUAGAGGCAAUGCCUGCCCAGUGACUAAGGUUUAACGGCCGCGGUAUUCUGACCGUGCAAAGGUAGCAUAAUCACUUGUUCCUUAAUUAGGGACUAGAAUGAACGGCUAAACGAGGGUUUAACUGUCUCUUAUUUUUCAUCCGUGAAACUGAUAUCCCCGUGAAGAGGCGGGAAUAACACAACUAGACGAGAAGACCCUGUGGAGCUUUAAUUUAUUAACUUAAUUUCAAUAACCUUUAAUCUAGCAGAGAUAAAAACUGAAAGAUAAGUUGAUGAUUUAGGUUGGGGUGACCUCGGAGAACAAAAUAACCUCCGAAAGAUUUCAAUCAAGACUGACAAGUCAAAAUAAGCACAGCUAUCACAUCGACCCAUUAAUUUUGAUCGACGAACCAAGUUACCCUAGGGAUAACAGCGCAAUCUCAUUUAAGAGUUCAUAUCGAAAAUGGGGUUUACGACCUCGAUGUUGGAUCAGGAUAUCCCAAUGGUGCAGCCGCUAUUAAUGGUUCGUUUGUUCAACGAUUAAAGU